AUUUGAUCCACAGAGACAAAUGGAGAGCACUUGCACUGGAAACAGUGGGCAGACCGUCUGGGGGAAGAGGAGCUAUCAUGGUUAACCAUCCUGAAGGUAAAUAAAUAUUGCAAGAUGGAGCAAGAUGAUGAUGCUUGUUUGUGCAGCGGCUCUCUGCUCUCCAGUUUGGUGCCUUUUUGUGCAUCAGCUGCUGAUUCAUCGAAGGAGCUGGGAUGAGAAGGUGCUGCAGUUCUCACCGAGACCUCAAGAUGAAAGGGACGAAUGUGUUCAUUCCCAAGAGCUGUUGACAGCAGAGCUGACUUCCAGGUCAGGAUGGGUAAGGAUCAUCCACAGGGCCCAGACCUUUGCGGUAACCAUCAGGAAAACAGCUGGUCCUGGGCUCUCCUUCCACCCAA